rnacentral:rRNA from 1 species
GGGUUGUGAGGUUAAGCGACUAAGCGUACACGGUGGAUGCCCUGGCAGUCAGAGGCGAUGAAGGACGUGCUAAUCUGCGAAAAGCGUCGGUAAGGUGAUAUGAACCGUUAUAACCGGCGAUGUCCGAAUGGGGAAACCCAGUGCAAUUCGUUGCACUAUCGUUAACUGAAUACAUAGGUUAACGAGGCGAACCGGGGGAACUGAAACAUCUAAGUACCCCGAGGAAAAGAAAUCAACCGAGAUUCCCCCAGUAGCGGCGAGCGACCGGGGAGCAGCCC